GGGUACAUUCCAGCCUCACAAAAAUCAGAGGUUUCUACACACACCUCGUAAUCCAGAUUUCGUGAGAGUAAAAUGGUUGGGGAAGGCAAUGGCCCAGAAAUGUCCUCCUUUGAAUGGGAUUCUUCUAGCUAGGAAAGUCCAUAUCAACUUGUUCACAAUGUCAGGCUGAUCUUGUUGGAUCCAGUGGCUGGCUUCAGACAGAAUAGAACCCCAACAGGUAUCCUGUCUCCAGACUGCAGGCAUAAACACAAAACAGCAGCCUCCACUCCACUCCCAACAAAGGCCUGGGCAGAGCAGCUGCCACAGAGCAGGGAGCAGAAAUGGAAAUGGACUGCCUUCAAGUCAAUCCCAACUUAUGGGCAACCCUAUGAAUAGGGUUUUCAUGGAUUAUAAUAAACUGGGCAGCAUGGAUGCUAUUAACACACCAAGAGACUCCAAGAUAUCCUUUAUAUCUGUUAUCAGGCAGUCUAGCUUGUAACUCUCUCUCUGGGCAGGAGCAUCUGUUUCUCCAUAGCCUCUCAAAUCCAAGGCCACAACUCGGUAUUCACUCUUAAAUUCCCGCAUUUGAUGACGCCAGGAGUACCUAGCAAAUAAGAACACAAUUUUACUUCAUAGUAUUUAUUUAAGACUGAUAAGCUACUUCGUGUUCCUUUGGAAAAGCAGUUACACAAGAAACAUAAAACAAGAUCACAAAACUGAAGACAAUAGAGAUGUAACACCUGCAACGUUAAAACAAAAACUGCGCAAAAACAGAUAAAACAAAUCAAAACACAUUUCAG